rnacentral:rRNA from 1 species
AGUCGAGGGGCAGCAUGACCUAGCAAUAGGUUGAUGGCGACCGGCGCACGGGUGAGUAACACGUAUCCAACCUACCGGUUAUUCCGGGAUAGCCUUUCGAAAGAAAGAUUAAUACCGGAUAGUAUAACGAGAAGGCAUCUUUUUGUUAUUAAAGAAUUUCGAUAACCGAUGGGGAUGCGUUCCAUUAGUUUGUUGGCGGGGUAACGGCCCACCAAGACUACGAUGGAUAGGGGUUCUGAGAGGAAGGUCCCCCACAUUGGAACUGAGACACGGUCCAAACUCCUACGGGAGGCAGCAGUGAGGAAUAUUGGUCAAUGGACGCGAGUCUGAACCAGCCAAGUAGCGUGAAGGAUGACUGCCCUAUGGGUUGUAAACUUCUUUUAUAUGGGAAUAAAGUGGUCCACGUGUGGAUUUUUGUAUGUACCAUAUGAAUAAGGAUCGGCUAACUCCGUGCCAGCAGCCGCGGUAAUACGGAGGAUCCGAGCGUUAUCCGGAUUUAUUGGGUUUAAAGGGAGCGUAGGCGGAUUGUUAAGUCAGUUGUGAAAGUUUGCGGCUCAACCGUAAAAUUGCAGUUGAUACUGGCAGUCUUGAGUGCAGUAGAGGUGGGCGGAAUUCGUGGUGUA